rnacentral:rRNA from 1 species
GAUCAUGGUUCAGGACGAACGCUGGCGGCGCGCCUAACACAUGCAAGUCGAACGAGAGAGAGGGAGCUUGCUCCCUCGAUCGAGUGGCGAACGGGUGAGUAACGCGUGAGGAACCUGCCUCAAAGAGGGGGACAACAGUUGGAAACGACUGCUAAUACCGCAUAAGCCCACGGCUCGGCAUCGAGCAGAGGGAAAAGGAGCAAUCCGCUUUGAGAUGGCCUCGCGUCCGAUUAG